rnacentral:lncRNA from 1 species
GAAAAUUCAAACGCUUACCACUCAAGUUACAAAGUCUUAACAACUUAGUAAUAUCGUUAACUCAACUUGUUUAUUAAUCCUGAAACGCACAUCUCGUAAGUCAUAAGCAUGAAACAAUCCUUUUAUUUACUCGUACAACCCCAUCAAAAUAAAAUCCACUUAAUUGCUUAAGAUACUAACAAAACCCCAAAAAAAGAAAAGGUAUAUGAUGAUUAUCUUCUUUGCAUUUGAUGAAGAUAAAAUUUUAUAUGUAUUUGACCUAAUAUUCACAACAUGCAUGUGACACGAGUUAUACACAACUAACAAUAAAUUUAUCGGUUCUUCAACAUUGACAAGAAGAAAAAAAAAACCGCUAAACUAAGAAUAAAUUGGUUAACUUCAAAUCAUGAUGCUCCAUGAAAAUGAAAUCAGAUAAAUAUAUUCAUGUAUAAAUAAAUCAGAGGCCUGAGAAAACCCAAAGCCAAUUGUCC